rnacentral:rRNA from 1 species
UACGGAGGGGGCUAGCGUUGUUCGGAAUUACUGGGCGUAAAGCGCGCGUAGGCGGAUCUGCAAGUCGGGGGUGAAAUCCCGAGGCUCAACCUCGGAACUGCCUUCGAUACUGCGGGUCUCGAGUCCGGGAGAGGUGAGUGGAAUUCCUAGUGUAGAGGUGAAAUUCGUAGAUAUUAGGAAGAACACCAGGUGGCGAAGGCG